ACAAACCCCAUUGGGAACCCGUACAAAAACUGCAAGAGUGAAGAACCAUCUCUCUGGGAAGAGUCCUGCCUGAGUCAGGUACCAUGGAAUAUAAACACAGUGGGGCAGCCUGUUCUCCAUGUUUGGAAGCCUGGGAAAAUGUCAGAAAGUUGACUCGACAAGAGAUGAGCCCAACUGCUGCUCUCUGCCUCACACCUGUUCCUCGGGUAAAAAUGUUAUUCCAUCAUUACUUACAGGGUAAAUGAGGAACACGCAAGGUGUUCGUUCACAGGCGUACCCUUGUCAUGCUUUCAUGUUGGGUCUACAGUAUUAAGAGAACUAAAUGAGCCAUUCCAUGCGGAAUUUGUGAAGUCGGGUCCCUGGAGAAAUUUGCCCAAGUUCUUUUCUUUUGCAGUUUGGGAAGAUGGACUUGAGAGGUUGAUUCGUCUGUGGCCAGUUCACCAGCCACACGUAGCAAUUUUGAAGUUUUCUAAUCAUGGAACUAACCAGCAUCUCAUACCACUUGCCCCUCUCCCUUGUGACCUUAAAGUCGCGCCACUAGUAUAAAAGUCUCAACUCUGGAGUAGUCAUGGAUCCAAGACCUGAUACUGUUGGCUUUGGAGACAAAUAGUUGUAUGUGGGUCUAAGAAAUGAAAACAGUUUAAAACAGCAAACACCCCAGCUAAGAGAAUUUUCUAUAUGUACUAUGUCGGUGACAUUUGCUUUUGAGUGUGUUGCUCCCAGACGCUGCUCAAGCACCCGCCUCCUGUAAACAAACCCAUCCUUAUACACAUUUGCUAAGUCGACGAUGGGCCAUCUGGAUGAGUGACCAGUUCCAUCAUUAAAGCGUAGAAGCAUGAAAACCCUCCAGCCAUGAAGUCAACAGAAUGAAGGCAGGGAAGAACCAUCGAGGUUUUUGGAAUGGCCUCCAUGGCUGUGCGCAACAGACAAGCUCAUCUUUGGACAAGGAACCCAAGUGACCGUGGAACCAAAAAUUCAGCCUCCUACCAAACCAUCUGUUUUCAUCAUGAAAAAUGGAACGAAUGUUGCCUGUCUGGUGAAAGAUUUCUACCCCAAGGAUGUGAAUAUAAGUCUCAAAUCAUCCAAGAAGAUAGCAGAAUUUGACCCUGCUAUCGUCAUCUCCCCCAGCGGGAAGUACAGUGCUGUCAAGCUCGGCCAGUAUGGAGAUUCAAAUUCAGUGACAUGUUCGGUUCAGCACAACAGUGAAACUGUGCACUCAACUGACUUUGAACCACUCGAAAAUUCUUUUGCUAAUAUAAAACCACCAGAAGAGGAAAAUGUCACACACACUUCAGAGACUUGCCAUGGCUCAAAAGUUCACACCAAGAAGGCAAACAUGAUGUCCCUCAUGGUGCUGGGGCUCCGAAUGCUGUUUGUCAAGAGUGUUGCCAUCAAUUUUCUCUUUACCGUCAAGUUACUCUUCUUUUAAGGAUGGCUGGCAUGAGGAGACUACAGUUCCUGAAAGAAAAGCUUACAAAGAUGCUAUAUCCAAGGUUACCAACUCCUUAAUGCUUCAAACUGACCCAUCACCAUGGCAUCUAAAUGGCUGCCAACAAAACCAGCUUUUCUGUGAAGGCAGCAAGCCUAGCUAAUCAUCCAGUCUAACUGAAAAGCAAAAGGCCUGGGGAGUGGGGUAUGUGGGCCUGGCUUUACUCGCUGCCUUAUAAAGGCAUGGAAAGCUAUGAAAACAUAGACCUACUUUAUUUUGCCCCUAUAACUGGUAGGCUUGGAGAAUGGUGUUCCAUCCUUUGUUUACCCAGAACUAGAAAGUAGGGACCAGUAAAUCACCAGCUUAAUUACCCAGGAGGAAAAUGGUCUUGGGAGAGAGAACAUGUAGCUUUCUAGCUAAACAUGGAAAGCUGGGCUCAGCCCACUCCUAACCAGCGCCGCCCUCCUUCUCUCCUAUGGUAGCACCCCCUCCUCCUCUCCUGUGGUAGCGCCCCCUCCCCCUCUCCUGUGGUAGGCAUGGCCCACCCUCUGUGCUUGCUCUCAGUCAUGCAGGAGAGUUUUCCUAGCAGCACUGGGGUGCUGAACGACUUUAGCCCUUUGUGUUUCUCCUGAUACUUUGCAAUCGGCUUCCUUAAUGCUCUCCAAGUAGGCAAUAAAGCUUCUACAAUCACA